AACGAACGCUGGCGGCAUGCUUAACACAUGCAAGUCGAACGAGACCUCCGGGCCUAGUGGCGCACGGGUGCGUAACGCGGGGUAACCUGCCCUUAGGUUCGCAAUCACUCCCCGUAAGGGGUGCUAAUACCGCUGAAUGUCAUCCGACCAAAGAUUUAUCGCCUUUGGAUGGGCCCGGGUUGGAUUAGCUAGUUGGUAGGGUAAUAGCAUACCAAGGCGACGAUCCAUGGCUGGUCUGUGAGGAUGAUUAGCCACACUGGGACUGAGACACGGCCCAGACUGCUACGGAAGGCAGCAGUGGGGAAUAUUGGACGCUGGGCGAAAGCCUGAUCCAGCAACGCCGCGUGUGUGAUGAAGGCCUUAGGGUUGUAAAGCUCUUUUACCCGGGAUGAUAAUGACAGUACCGGGAGAAUAAGCUCCGGCUAACUCCGUG
rnacentral:rRNA from 1 species